rnacentral:misc_RNA from 1 species
CGGCAAGAGUGGACGGUCUUAAACUGAUCAACAUCAAGUUUCUUAUUGAUUAUGCCCACCUGGAAGUAAAUAGAAUCGGAGGGAGGCAAAUCAACCUUGAUCUCAUCAACACUGAACCACAAAAAGAACCUUUGAACCUCAAUCCCUUUCAAAUCCGUGAUUGACCCGUAAUUUAACUUGCCAGAAAUUUGCUUAUCGUAAUAGACCAAGUAAUCGAAUUGAAUAUAGCACGGCUUCUCCAGAAGAACAAUGAAGCGACCGUCAUCUGAGAGCGAAUAGUUUGUUACUGAAUCGGGUAAUAGUCCGCUUGGGAGGCCAUACUUGGGCAAGAUUUCAUAGACUGAAACUGGGUCCCGUACAGAAAAAGAGAGUUCAGAGAGAGAAAGGAAAAGCAAUACAGAGAGAAGAGAGAGACGCAGAUGGUGAUUUGGAUUUGCAGAAGCCAUGGAAUUGGAAUUGAUACUGGUGGGUUUUAGAUAGAGAAAGUGUGAGGUUUAUAGAGAGAGAGCGAUGAGUUGCUGCUGCUUUGUCUGGUUUUGAAGGAGAAAAUAUGGCAUGGGUCAGUGAAGGUGUAAGACUGCAUUAAAUUU